rnacentral:rRNA from 1 species
AGAGUUUGAUCAUGGCUCAGAGCGAACGCUGGCGGCAGGCUUAACACAUGCAAGUCGAGCGGGCAUAGCAAUAUGUCAGCGGCAGACGGGUGAGUAACGCGUGGGAACGUACCUUUUGGUUCGGAACAACACAGGGAAACUUGUGCUAAUACCGGAUAAGCCCUUACGGGGAAAGAUUUAUCGCCGAAAGAUCGGCCCGCGUCUGAUUAGCUAGUUGGUGAGGUAAUGGCUCACC